rnacentral:lncRNA from 10 species
CGGAGGGGCUGCGCUACCCGGUCUUGGGUUUUUCAUCGGGGAGUGGGAGUGGACUGAAGGCUUGGCCGCUCCGCCUCACUGAGCCGGCUCAGCCAGCGCAGCUGUUCCUGGAACGCCAGUCCCUUAGGAUGGGAGGUACUUUCAUCUCGAAGAGGGCCGUGGCGUCUGGAGCUUCCCUCCCUUCUGUCCUGCUGAGUCAUCCCCGCGUCGCCUGCGAGGCCGCGAGGCGUUUAGAGAGCGGAGAAGGCAAAGAGGAACAGACUGGGAAAGAGACUGGAUAGAUUCUAAUAUGGUGAAAACAUCAGAAGCAGUUCAGGGACUAGGAAGUGGGAACUCUAGAGAUGACAGACAUUCUGCUGGGUGGUUUUUAAAGUUUCUUCCAGAGUCAUCUGCCUCAUUAACAACAAUUUUUGUGGAAGAAGUCUGUCUUUGAUUUUAUGAACUCACGUGACUCCUUGGUCUGUUACGAAUGCACAAUGCUCCAGUCCUUCAAUAAGCCCAUUACAUACUUUCACCAUGUCAUCUAUAGGUGCUUUUUCUCCAGUGUAAACAUCAUCUUCGUCAUCACUCUUACAAUGCUCACCUUGAUUCAGAACCAUUUUGACCAUUCACAUCAGUCAAUGAAUGAACAACUGAAGUGUCAUCAUGGACAGUAAAAACUUCUUCCAUAUCCUCUUCUUUCAGCCUACUGACAGACUCGGAAGGUGUAUAUUUCACAUAUGGCAGGAGGUCAGACUUUUUUUUCAACUUGACAUACAGAAUCCUUCAAAGUCACUACCUUGUUCUUCAUCAUCACUGAGCAUACCUGCAGGCCAGAUAUUGCACCACGCAUGCACAACUGUGUCUCUAGUUAUUGUGUUCCAAGUGUUGGAACAGUAUAUAUGGCAUCUUUCACGCCAAACUCUUUUGAAAACUUUCCACACCCAUGCCCCUGUUCCCUGCUGCUAGCCUGCUGUUCAAGAAAGUGUUUUUAUAUUUACUCUUCUUCUGUAUAUGGUGUGAAAGGAAAAUAAAUCUCAGGACCCCCAAAUCACUAAGCCAAAUGAAAAAGUCAAGGUGGGAAUUGCAUCAGACAAUUUGCCUCACAUUUUAUUCCUAAAGAAGAUAGCUACAAAGAUAAAGAGAGAGAGAAAGAAAAAGAAAGAGAAAGAAAGAAAGAAAGGAAAGAAAGAAAGGCAAGCAAGCAAGCUACAUACCUUCCUCACAAUUUGCCCACUUGGAAAUUCCUUGUGGGCUCAAGAUCUUUACCCUAAAAUGGUUCUGUUGAAUUUUAUCCUGACAGUGUAAAUUGAUAGCUUAUCUAAACAGUUGCAGGACAAAGGACAAAACCGAAAGUCAUCCCUCUGCUCACUUAAGACAAAUGCACAUCUGAAUGCUUCACCUGAUGUAAAAGUGUGAUUCACUGAGCUACAUGAAAGCAUGAGUGACUAUUAUUCCUCUACCCACCACCCCCCCAACCCCCCCUCCCUGCCAACAUGUAAAUUGUGUAUUCAGUGAAAGGCUGAUCAAACACAAAAAAGAAUGAAACAAUUUGUCUCUUAUCUACCCACAACUUUAAAAGAUGUAUUCCUUUUUCCCCAAUAUCCACCCUUUCCCUUUAAAUAUUGAAGCCCUCAAAAUAAUCUUUGGAGAAAGGCACAGACAUGUUUGCUUGGUGUACAUAUUUAACCUUGGCAAAAUAAACAUUCUAAAUUCAUUGAGACCUGUCUCAGAUACUUUUGUUUACAAAGGAUACCCUG